CACAACGGGUGGAGCCUGCGGUUUAAUCGGACUCAACGCCGGAAAUCUCACCGGAUAAGACAGCUGAAUGAUAGUCGGGAUGAAGACUCUACUUGACUAGCUGCAGAGGAGGUGCAUGGCCGUCGUCAGUUCGUACUGUGAAGCAUCCUGUUUAGUCAGGCAACGAGCGAGACCCACGCGAGCAGUUGCCAGCAUGACCUUCGGGUUGAUGGGGACACUGCUCGGACCGCCUCUGCUAAAGGGGAGGAAGGACUGGGCAACGGUAGGUCAGCAUGCCCCGAAUUAUCCGGGCUACACGCGGGCUACAAUGGUUGGGACAAUGGGUUCCGACACCGAAAGGUGAAGGCAAUCUCCUAAACCCAGUCUAAGUUCGGAUUGCGGGUUGUAACUCACCCGCAUGAAGUUGGAAUCCGUAGUAAUCGCGUUUCACCAUAGCGCGGUGAAUAUGUCCCUGCUCC
rnacentral:rRNA from 1 species